UUGCCAUAGCCUUGAGAUAGUUCGAGAACACUUAUGGUUUUCCUUCUUUUUGAGGCAUGAGUCUCACAUCUAAUUAUGAUUAUUUGCUGUAAUGUCUAACUACUUCUAAUUUUAUUUGAAUGACACUAGAUGGACGGUGACAUUAGUACAUGACCAUACAACCAUUCCAUUCUACAUCUCUAGGGGAGCCAUCGAUCAUAGGAAGUAUGAGAGGAUGUGCAUGUUCAUGCUAUGCAUUAUAGACGUCGAGAGUUGUGUUAUGAUCUACUAGGAGUAGAGACGAAUGACAAUGUUUUUAGGGGAGGUCAUCUCAACUUACUGUGAUUAGCACAACAGAUUGACAAUUUUGACCAUCUACUUGAAGAUGUUACUGAAAACCAAUAACAGCAGUAUACUCAGCUUAUAUCCUCACACCUACUGGCAGAUUGGUUUUUCCUGAUAAAUCCAACAAUUGAGUGCACUUGAUGUAGCUCUCUCUGAUGGAAGAUCGUAACAAUGUUAGAACAUAUAGUUAGGGAGCUAGCUAUCUUGCAUGGUUGUAUACACAAUUAUGUAAGGGAGAAUGACAUUAUAGUUCCUUUUCUAUUGCUACAAAUUUGAGGAUGGGACCGAUUUUUUCUCUUAGCACCACGAGGACUACAUCGGUAUGAGAAUCACCUUGUACUGAACGCUAGCAAUACGAUAGAUAUUUUUAAUAUGUUAGCAAUAUUUAACAUGUUUAUUAACAUCACCUUGUACUGAACUUAUGAUUAUUACAUAUGGAAUGAUGACUUCUCUGUCA